rnacentral:rRNA from 1 species
UCGAGAAUUUUUCUCAAUGGGGGCAACCCUGAAGGAGCGACGCCGCGUGGAGGAUGAAGGUCUUCGGAUUGUAAACUCCUGUCAUUGGUGAACAAGAUACUGCCGUUAACUGCGGUGGUGUUUGAUAGUAGCCGAAGAGGAAGGGACGGCUAACUCUGUGCCAGCAGCCGCGGUAAUACAGAGGUCCCGAGCGUUGUUCGGAUUCAUUGGGCGUAAAGGGUGCGUAGGCGGGGAAGUAAGUUUGAUGUGAAAUCCCGGGGCUCAACCUCUGGACUGCAUUGAAUACUGCAUCCCUAGAGUACUGGAGAGGAAACUGGAAUUUACGGUGUAGCAGUGAAAUGCGUAGAGAUCGUAAGGAAGACCAGUGGCGAAGGCGAGUUUCUGGACAGUUACUGACGCUGAGGCACGAAGGCCAGGGGAGCAAACGG